rnacentral:rRNA from 1 species
GAUGAACGCUGGCGGCGUGCCUAAUACAUGCAAGUCGAGCGAACGGACGAGAAGCUUGCUUUUCUGAUGUUAGCGGCGGACGGGUGAGUAACACGUGGAUAACCUACCUAUAAGACUGGGAUAACUUCGGGAAACCGGAGCUAAUACCGGAUAAUAUUUUGAACCGCAUGGUUCAAAAGUGAAAGACGGUCUUGCUGUCACUUAUAGAUGGAUCCGCGCUGCAUUAGCUAGUUGGUAAGGUAACGGCUUACCAAGGCAACGAUGCAUAGCCGACCUGAGAGGGUGAUCGGCCACACUGGAACUGAGACACGGUCCAGACUCCUACGGGAGGCAGCAGUAGGGAAUCUUCCGCAAUGGGCGAAAGCCUGACGGAGCAACGCCGCGUGAGUGAUGAAGGUCUUCGGAUCGUAAAACUCUGUUAUUAGGGAAGAACAUAUGUGUAAAUAACUGUGCACAUCUUGACGGUACCUAAUCAGAAAGCCACGGCUAACUACGUG